UUUAUACUGGGAGCUGCCACCACGGCCUUCAGGGGCUCGGGGGCGGCUCCCAGUCCUUACUGGUUUGUACUGGUGCCCUCCCAGUCCACGCCUGGGAGCACCGGCGGGCUCUGGUGGCCGGGCAGGACCCCGAGGCUGAGCUGGCCUUCGCCGGGGCCCUGCUGAGCCGCGACUUCUCCAACUUCUCGGCCUGGCACCACCGGCUGCGGCUGCUGGCGCCCGCCCGGGGCCGCGGCGACGGCGAGCCCGGGGCGCUGCCCCCCGAGAAGCUGCAGGAAGGUGAGAGAUUCCCCCCGGGAAAAUUCCCAAAAAUCAGGUGGAUCCCAACAAACUCACAGCCGAUCCUAUAAAGGGUGUCAGGUUUAAUGGAUGUCAUUAAAUCCCCAUGGGGUUUAAUGGGGUAGACCUGGUGUCACUAAAAUCCCCAUUGGGUUUAAUAGGGUAGACCUGGUGUCCCUACAUCCCAUUAGGUUCAGUGGGGUAGACCUGGUGUCUCUAAAUCCUGAUGGACUUUAAUGGGGUAGACCUGGUGUCCCUAUGUCCCCAUUGUCCUUGAUGGGGUAGACCUGGUGGCCCUAAAUUUCCAUUGGAAUGAAUGGGGUAGACUUGGUGUCCCUGCAUCACCAUUGGGUUCAAUUGGGUAGACCUGGUGUCUAUUCCCAUUUACCUCAAUGAGGGUUUACCUGGUGUCUCUAAAUCCCAUUGCCUUUAAUGGGGUAGACCUGGUGUCCCUAAGUCCCCAUUGGGUUUAAUGGGGUAGACUUGGUGUCACUAAAUUCCAUUGAUAUCAAUGGGGUAGACCUGGUGUCCAUAAAUCCCCAUUGGGUUUAAUGGGGGUAGACCUGGUGUCCCUGAAAAUCCCAUUGACUUUAACGGGGUAGACCUGUUGUCCCUACAUCCCAUUAGGUUUAAUGGGGUAGACCUGGUGUCUCAAAAUCCCCACUGAGUUUAAUGGGUACACCUGAACUCCCACACACCUGCAUGCCCCCAUUCAGAUUUUGGGGUGUCCCACUGAGGUUUUGGGGUGCCCCUGUUGCCCCCCUGAGAUUUUGUGCUGCUCCCUUUGUGCCUCCAGAGCUGGAGCUGGUGCAAAACGCUGUCUUCACCGACCCCACGGACCAAAGCGCCUGGGUGUACCUGCGCUGCAUCCUCUCCCGAGCCUCCCCACCGCCAAGGAUCAUCUCUGUCCACGUCGACCGUGAGGACGCGACGCUGGCAGUCAUCUUCUCCCGGCCUGUCAAGGUGAGUGGGGACACCUGGGAACCCCAAAAAUCAUCUGUAUCUUCCAAAAAAAUCACCUGGAUACACCUGAGUACACCCAGAAUCA
rnacentral:lncRNA from 1 species